rnacentral:rRNA from 1 species
GCUUGACUGUAGUUUGGAACAGGGUUCGGGCUUUUCUUGCGCAGCCUAGGUGGGAGGCAUUGAGGAUUUCUUUUCGGGGAAAUCGGAGCCAUCAUUGAGAGACCACUCUGGAAGAGCUAGAAUCCUAAUGGCGUUCCUUGAAUCAGGACGCUUGACAGUUUCAGAUGGGCAGUUUUCUUGGGGCGAGAUUCUUAGUUAUGGGAUGCUUGAAAAAGUAAAAAUUAUCCAUUUUCAAGUAGAAUUUGACUAUAUGCUGGAAUGUUUCUAUGUUAAUUAUUGUGGGGAAUAAAGCUCGCCUUUUUCCGUUACCGACUACAACUCUUAAACAUAAGAAAUUUUACAAAUUUCUGAAACUAAUCAGCAGGGAAACAACAAGAGUUGUUGUGACCUUCAAAGACUUUACGUCAAACUUUUAAGUUAUGUUUAAUUUUAAAAGAUGAUAAAGUCUAACCUACUAAUAUUAUUAAGUAGGUUGCCUAAAAGGUAACGGAGAAGCGCAAUGGUCCCCUCAACCUGGACGGAAAUCAGGCUUUGAGUGCAAAGGCAUAAGGGGGCUUGACUGCAAGACCUACAAGUCGAGCAGGGGCGAAAGCCGGCCUUAGUGAUCCGACGGUGCCGUGUGGAAGGGCCGUCGCUCAACGGAUAAAAGUUA